rnacentral:ncRNA from 1 species
CGAAGCCCUCAGGAACCUGCCGCGGAUCGCCCGCGGUGCUGCCACCGCUCUCCUUCAGUGGAUCGGCCCGCGGAGGUUCCUGAGGGUUUCG